rnacentral:lncRNA from 1 species
AAGUAUUCAUCAUCAAAUUUCAGAACUGCAGCUGUCCCAUUUCUGGAAGUUGAAGAACAUUAUUUGCCUAUCUAAGGAAGCAGUAAGAAAAGGAUGGAAGAGAUUGUGGUCAAGACUGAAAUACUGUUGAUGAUGCAUAGGUGCCUGUGGAAUGACUGGACUGCAUCUUAUUUUACGUGCUAAGUUCAGACAAAUCUGUGGUUUUCACCUUCCCAUACACAAUCCAUAAAUUUCAGAAAGGCAAACUGCAACAGAAACACUUCAUACAGGCAAUCCAGAAAAUUAUUUCACCAAAAAAAUUAAGCCCUGAUAUUUUGCACAAUUGUAUAUUUUCAAUGAUAUUUUCUUGUCACUUUUACUUUGAGUAUUUCUGGGACAAACAUUUUCCUUUCAAGGAUGAUUUUCAUUAUUUUUUUCUCAAACAACUACAAAGAAUUUAAACAGGAAUAAUUCAUUCAAGUAAUGCAUGCUUGUAUUUAUUCAAACACAUUAGAAUUCCC